CCUACGGGCGGCAGCAGUAGGGAAUCUUCCACAAUGGACGAAAGUCUGAUGGAGCAACGCCGCGUGAGUGAAGAAGGGUUUCGGCUCGUAAAGCUCUGUUGGUAGUGAAGAAAGAUAGAGGUAGUAACUGGCCUUUAUUUGACGGUACUUACUUAGAACGUCACGGCUAACUACGUGCCAGCAGCCGCGGUAAUACGUAGGUGGCAAGCGUUGUCCGGAUUUAUUGGGCGUAAAGCGAGUGCAGGCGGGUCAAUAAGUCUGAUGUGAAAGCCUUCGGCUCAACCGGAGAAUUGCAUCAGAAACUGUUGGACUUGAGUGCAGAAGAGGAGGGUGGAACUCCAUGUGUAGCGGUGGAAUGCGUAGAUAUAUGGAAGAACACCAGUGGCGAAGGCGACUCUCUGGUCUGCAACUGACGCUGAGGCUCGAAAGCAUGGGUAGCGAACAGGAUUAGAUACCCGUGUAGUC
rnacentral:rRNA from 1 species